AGGGUGAACGCUGGCGGCGUGCUUAAGACAUGCAAGUCGAACGGAUGCUUUCGGGCAUCAGUGGCGCACGGGUGAGUAACGCGUAACUGACUUACCUCCAAGUUCAGCAUAACGUCUCGAAAAGAGACGCUAAUUCUGAAUGUGAUCCCGGAUCGUGUUCCGUGAUUAAAGAACUUCGCUUGGAGAUGGGGUUGCGUUCCAUCAGCUAGUUGGUAGGGUAAAGCCUACCAAGGCGACGACGGA
rnacentral:rRNA from 1 species